rnacentral:lncRNA from 1 species
CUAGUACACGUCAGUAGGCUAUUUAUGGCCCAUUAUUCAUGCCCAUAUGUUUGUGACACGCUCAUGAAAUACAAAUAAAUUGGAAAAAAUCUCAAAAUUGACAAAUAUUGGUCAUGUUUUCAUUGAAACCAUCAACAUUUGUACUUGUACAAUUUUUCAUAGGAAAUACAAAGGCAAUAAGCAAGCUACACGCAAGUAGCUACAAAACUAAGAGGGUAGCUUGCACAAUACAACUCAUAUGAUUUGCUUGCAUAACAAAAACUUUCAAAAAUAGCCACCAUGAGCACUUUGAUCCUCUUGCCUGCACCAGUGUACAUCUAAGCUCAUUCUGACCUGAAAACCAGAGGUUCCAUUUAUCACUAAUGCAGUCUAAACAAAGUUACAUGGAAAGGUGCCAGAAGUAAAGAAACCUUGAAAACUUAGAAGCAGAUUCUCCGCAGGUAGAAUCUACUUUAGCGGAAUCAAAUGGUGAAUGUCACAAUCCAAGUCGAGAACCAGUGACCAUGACAAAGUAGCACCAUCAUAGCAAUAUUUGAAAUUUCAUCCUAAUUUGACAUAGAGCACACCAACUUGAUUUCACUUAAUCCUAAGGUUGUAUGGUAACACAUAGCAGCUGGUAAAUAUAAAAAGAUACUAACCAGUCAAUAAAAGCACAGAUUUAACAACUCAAUUACUCAACCAUACUACACUCACCAUCCCAUUACAGAUCAAUAAUUCUCCUUUGCUACUAUGUUCAUGCACCUUUCAUAAACACUACAGAAGUAACUUUGGAUAAAUCUAACCAUUUAUAUUUUGGCAAUGACAUAUAUGCUUCUAGAAAAGAAAUAAUAACAAAGGUCACGAUUGGACUUUACUUUUAUCUAACCUCUAAUUAUAAGAAACGGUAAGUUUUGCUAAGUUACUUACGUAUGUAGUGAUUUCCAACCGCCAAGAAACGUACUCACACUCAUAACAUUCUGAAAGGAUAAUGCAAUGGUUCAAAAAUUUUAAUGAAUCUAGUGCUAUAAAACAACUGUAUAUGGAUUUUGGUUAACGGUUCAUGGGUGAGGUCAUUCAUAGUAACAAGCCAAAUGAUAUCUUCAUUCCAUUCCUUUGUAUAUUCAAGAUUAAAUAUUAGCACAUAACAGUAUACGUGAUUGUGUGACUUCUUAUUUUCUAAGAUUUUAUAAGAUUUUGCUUGGGUCACAAGAAGAACUCCUUGUCUUUCUUUAAAUUUGCACGUAACAGUAUACGUGAUUGUACUUCUUAUUUUCUAAGAUUUUAUAAGAUUUUGCUUGGGUCACAAGAAGGGCUCCUUGUCUUUCUUUAAACGAAGAAAACGCACAAAGCUUUGAGUUUGUAACACUCUCUAAUCUACAAAGUCUGUUGUGAAAUUAGAAUGAGAUGUAUGUAGGUCUCUGAAUCAGCACAAACAAAAAGAAUAGUACCACUACCACCAAUCUGCACCCCACACGCGCAGCCAAAUGCAACUGAUUUCUACAUUAAGCACCUUAUAUGCCCUUCUGAAUAUUUUCAACAACUUUGAUUAGGACCUGCACUAAGUUAUAGUAAUUAUUUUGUGAAGAAUGGUGUCAUACUUUAAAAUUC